AUAAAUCAGAAGUUGAUACUAACAAUGAAAUUCCCAAGUAUAUUAUUUUUUUCGUUUUCAACAUUUAUUGUGUCUCAAUCCAAGGACGACACUUUCGGUGCAGAACCUAGAAUUUUCAACCAUUACAGCAAAAUGUAUUUGAUUUCCGCAAAGAAAAUGAACUUCUUUUCUGCCGAUAGGGAGUGUAAAAGGCACGGCUUAUUACUAGCCGCCAUUCCAGAUCAAGAGCAUCAAGCGCAUCUAGCGAAGUUUGUAAAGGGCAAAUAUCCAUUUUGGAUUUCAUUUUGGAUAGGUGGUUCAUGUAUGGCCAUGAAGACACAUUCCCCCUUCUUCUUUUACUGGGUUCACAAUAGCGAAAAAAUUAACUAUACGAAUUGGGCACCUAACCAUCCUGCAGCGGGGAAUGAUCAAUGCAUCACCUUUCAUUCACUUGAUGGUAAUUGGUAUGGUUGGAAUUACUAUAGCUCUCCUGGCUUCAUUUGCAUGCAUCCCUAUUACGUAGAUAUAUGAAUAGGAAGCAUCAGCUAUAAUCAAUUAAGUUAAAGAAAAUAAAGGAAUUCUCUUAGUUGUGUAAUUCUAA